GUAAGUUUGCACUACGAGGAAAAAGAAAACGUAGCGACCAUGAUGUCCUGCCCCAUUCCCAUGCAAUUGCAAAUGCCAAUUCCUUCAUUACACAAAUCAGAAUUUGAACCGGUUAAUAUUGGAGUUAAGCGCGGAAGCGACGAACUUUUGAGUCAAGCAGCGGUCAUGGCGCCCGCUUCCGACAAUAACAAUCAGGACCUGGCCACAAAGAAGGCCAAACUGGAGCCGGGCACCGUGCUGGCCGGCGGAAUCGCCAAGGCCUCGAAAGUCAUCCACUUGCGCAACAUUCCGAACGAGUCCGGCGAGGCAGAUGUGAUUGCCCUGGGCAUUCCGUUUGGACGUGUGACCAACGUGCUGGUGCUCAAGGGCAAGAACCAGGCUUUCAUCGAGAUGGCCGACGAGAUCUCCGCUACUUCGAUGGUGUCCUGUUACACAGUAAAUCCGCCCCAGAUGCGCGGCCGCAUGGUCUACGUGCAGUUUUCUAACCAUCGCGAGCUGAAGACGGACCAAGGUCACAACAACUCGAUCACCCAGAGCGACUACAGCGCCCAGUCCCCGGCGAGCGGAUCGCCUCUGCCCCUUAGCGCCGCUACCAAUUCUACCAGCAACAAUGCCAACAGCUCAAGCGACAGCAACAACAGCGCCAUGGGAAUCUUGCAAAACAACACAAGCGCCGUCAAUGCGGGCGGCAACGCCGCCGGGGGACCCAAUACUGUGCUCCGUGUGAUUGUCGAGUCCUUGAUGUACCCCGUCUCGCUGGACGUUCUGCACCAGAUCUUCCAGCGCUAUGGAAAGGUGCUAAAGAUUGUCACCUUCACAAAGAACAAUUCAUUCCAGGCCCUCAUCCAAUAUCCGGACGCCAACUCCGCCCAGCACGCCAAGUCGCUCCUGGACGGGCAGAAUAUAUACAACGGCUGCUGCACGCUGCGUAUUGAUAACAGCAAGCUGACGGCUCUGAAUGUUAAGUACAACAACGACAAAUCGCGCGACUUCACGAACCCCGCUCUGCCACCUGGUGAACCGGGAGUGGAUAUCAUGCCCACCGCCGGCGGACUGAUGAACACCAAUGAUCUUCUUUUGAUCGCCGCACGUCAGCGACCUUCUCUCUCAGGUGAUAAAAUAGUCAACGGCCUGGGCGCCCCCGGAGUCCUGCCGCCCUUUGCCUUGGGCCUGGGCACUCCACUGACCGGCGGGUACAACAACGCCCUGCCCAACUUAGCCGCUUUCUCGCUGGCCAACAGCGGCGCCCUGCAGCCGGCCGCUCCUGCAAUGCGAGGUUACUCGAAUGUCUUGCUUGUCUCGAAUUUAAAUGAGGAGGUGUAUACGGCGAUGUGCAACGUGUAAAGAUUCUGUACAACAAGAAGGACUCGGCACUCAUACAAAUGGCGGAGCCCCAGCAAGCUUAUUUGGCCAUGUCUCACCUUGAUAAAUUACGUUUAUGGGGAAAGCCGAUACGUGUGAUGG
rnacentral:misc_RNA from 1 species